UUAUUAUUUUGCGAAUAGACGCCGUCGCCACCAAUGCACCACUACCGGUCCGCCAUUUCCGCCAUUUUUCAUUGAGGAUCAGCGUAGCGGGCGGAGCACGCGAACUUCGUUAGGGAAGGUUGGGUUUAAUAGUGCUAUAUAUACCGUGGGUUGAAGCUUGGUUGUAUUUAGACAAGGUGGAGCAACUCAGCGCGUGUUGCACCAUGGCCCGAUCGGACCUGGAGCGGAACGUCCGUUCUGUAAUGCGCGGCACUGUGUCGGCCGAUCUGUCCGAGCACCUUUCCCUGAAAGGGAAGAAUGGGAAGAGGGCUAUAGCGGAAACCGUCCUCUUCGACGUUAUCUGCGAGACACUGAGACGCUGCGGUGGCGCCAACCGAGACGCCGUCGGGAGGUGCGUGGGCCUCUGGCUCUCCGGCAGCCGGGAUCGGAACGGCAAACGUCUCCGAAGGCUUUCAAAAACCAAGGAGGCAG